rnacentral:rRNA from 1 species
GGCCUAAUACAUGCAAGUCGAGGGGUAACAUUGGAGCUUGCUUCAGAUGACGACCGGCGCACGGGUGCGUAACGCGUAUGCAACCUACCUAUUACAUGGGGAUAGCCCACGGAAACGUGGAUUAAUAUCCAAUAGUAUAAUAAUACUGCAUGGUAUAAUUAUUAAAGAUUUAUUGGUAAUAGAUGGGCAUGCGUACCAUUAGAUAGUUGGUGAGGUAAUGGCUCACCAAGUCAGCGAUGGUUAGGGGGCCUGAGAGGGUGAUCCCCCACACUGGUACUGAGAUACGGACCAGACUCCUACGGGAGGCAGCAGUAGGGAAUAUUGGUCAAUGGGCGCGAGCCUGAACCAGCCAUGCCGCGUGCAGGAAGACGGCCUUCUGGGUUGUAAACUGCUUUUGACAGGGAAGAAAACGUCCAUGCGUGGAUAACUGACGGUACCUGUAGAAUAAGCACCGGCUAACUCCGUGCCAGCAGCCGCGGUAAUACGGAGGGUGCAAGCGUUGUCCGGAUUUAUUGGGUUUAAAGGGUGCGUAGGUGGUUUAUUAAGUCAGUGGUGAAAUCCUGCAGCUUAACUGUGGAACUGCCAUUGAUACUGGUAAACUUGAGUGUUGUUGAGGCAGGCGGAAUUUAUGGUGUAGCGGUGAAAUGCAUAGAUACCAUAAAGAACACCGAUAGCGAAGGCAGCUUGCUUAGCAACAACUGACACUGAUGCACGAAAGCGUGGGUAGCGAACAGGAUUAGAUACCCUGGUAGUCCACGCCGUAAACGAUGCUCACUCGAUGUAUGCGAUAUACAGUAUGCGUCCAAGCGAAAGCGUUAAGUGAGCCACCUGGGGAGU